GGAUAGCUCAGUCGGUUAGAGUGCGGUGCUGAUAACACCAAGGUUGCAGGUUUGAUCCCCAUAUGGGGCAACU
rnacentral:tRNA from 1 species